rnacentral:lncRNA from 1 species
CUAAAUGAAUUUUUAGUGGAACACAAUCAAGCAUUUGCUUUUCCUAUUGUCUUUGGAUGUUUCUGUCCUAAAUAGUUGAUUUUGGUAAUUGUAAUAGUGAUCACUUGUCCUGCAAAGUAUUUCCAGACUGUCCCUUUAUAGGAAAGUUCAAUGACCCCUAAAUGGCCUAAAUCAGGAGGACACCUUUUUUAACUAUGCCUUUUAUAUUUGUGCUGAUUUGAAUUGUUUGUCUUUUGCUCUACGUUAUAAAACUAUUAAAACAUCUCAAAUGUUUGUUCUACAUGCAAAUAUGGGGUUUUGAUAGUCAUGUCUUUAUUAAAAAUCAGUAGAUGAAUGUGGAGCAAACUACAGACAGACAGACCUCCUAUCUUGGAGACAAGGAGAAGAGUUAGGGGGAUAACUCAGGCAAGAGUUUUGUUGUUGUUGUUGUUGUUUUGGUACUGAGGAUUGAACUCAGGGGCACUCAACCACUGAGCCACAUCCCUAGCCAUUUUUAUAUUUUAUUUAGAAACAGGGUCUCAAUAAGUUGCUGAGGCUGGCUUUGAACUCAAAAUUCUCCUGCCUCAGCCUCCUUACCCAGUGGGAUGACAGGCACAGGCAAGGAAUUUUGAUGGCUAGAAUUAGCAUGGUAAAUAUAGAGAUGGGUGAAUAUAGGUUAAAAUAGAUUUGAUACAGAUUUUAGGAUGUAUAUCCUUGGGAACCUAAGAAGGAUGAUAGGAAGAGUCAAGAAGGAUAAAUACCCACAAUUCUGACCAUGACAAUUAUACAAAUGUGUAUUAUGAAAGUUAGAGAUGCAGAAUUUGUGGUUCCCAGUAAGGAGGAGGAAAUGCUGCUCUGCUGUACCGUUCUCUACCUCCAUUUGUACUUGCAAGGCUUAUGGAGCCCCAGUACCACUGAGAUAUUGUGUGUAUGUGUUUAUGUCUGUGAACUUGUGCACAUGACUUUAGAUUGUUGGCACUUGAUCUUGACAGUACAGUGCCUUCUGGUAUUUUAAGUCAGUUGGUGGUGCUAUAACAAAGUACCAUAGACUGGGUGGCUUAUAAACAAUAGGAAUAUAUUUUUUCAUAGUUCUGGAGACUGUGAAAUCUAAAACAAGGUACUGGCAGAUUUGGUACAUGGUGAGAGCCUGCUUUCUAGUUCAUAGGCACACAUCCUAUUUCUGUGUCCUCUUAUGGUAGAAGAGGAUGGCUGAGCUCUCUGAUAAUUCAUUUAUAAGGGCACUAAUAAUCUCCAGUCACCUGCUGAAGUCUCCACCUCCAAACUCCAUCACAUUAGGGGCUGGGUUUCAAUAUUCAAAUUUUGUGGGGACAUAAAGGUUCAGCAUAAGGCAUCUUGCCUGUGGACUUAUUGUUGGAUUUUCAAUUAAUGAUGACUGUACAAAAAGCUUCUAAUAAGUGAGGCUUCUGUUGCUUGAUUGAGGCCUCCGUGCUAAGUAAAAAUUCCAUAUAGUUUCUUACAGUGUUGAUCCUAGGUGUCAAAUGCAAAUCCCAUAUGUUCCCCUAUAAGUCAUUCUGAGCAAAAGCAAGGACUUGUGCCAUGACUUCUCCCUGAGGAAGAAGCUGUAGGUCAGGAACAUGGCCAGCAUUGUCUUGAGCAGAACCAUCCCCCCCGUUGGUGACCCCACUGUUGUUCAUUAUUAUAAACUCCUUCCUAGUUCAUGGCAGCACAGAGAUGAACACCACUCCUGAUCCCUUCCUUCUUCUGACCAAUGCCUCCUGAGUAAGAUAUAUAUUAUUAGUGUAGGUGGUUAAGAAAAACAUGAAUCAAUUCUGCUGUAAAACUUAAAUGAAAUUCUUCAAGGCAAACAACCAGAGUUCUAGGUGAGAUUACUCAGCCAGUUAUAGCGUCCUUGUCUGUUAUCACUGAAAUUGUUUCUGAUGCUUUUCCAGCCUUUAUUGAAAUAUCCUAAUAUGAUCAAGUUCUCCUAAAAGACUGUAAGAUGUACGUAUUAGCUUCAUAACAAGGGUUUUCUUUUUCAUGUUAAAAAAUAAAAUCAGGGGAAUAAUUCAUAGUCUUCUGUCCUAACCUAAUAAACUAUCCAUUCAUCUCCUUUCCUAACAAAUAUCCUAGGACUCCUAUGAAAUAAAGGUCAUUUGUUCAAUUUGGAAUGAAUUAAAAAUGAAUGAGAGAUGAAGGAUGUCCCUUCAUUGCCAAUUUUCUUCUCUUGCAACUUUCUUCCCUCAAAGUUAUCCUUCAUGCAAGUAUCUGAGGUGAGGAUCUGAGAUUCCUCCUGGGCCUUGAUAUGAGAGACAGUACAGGGUGCAAAAGUGGUGUGUAAAGAGCAUAUAGAAUGUGUGACUGAUUGGUAGUGAUUGACUGAUGCCUUGCUGUGGUGACUUAAUGUCCCAUUCCUAUUGGAAAUUCUUAAUUUCAUUAACCUAAUUGCAAAACCAGUUUAAGAAACUAUAGAAAGUAAAACAUUUGAUUGAAUCAGUGGGUGGCUAUUCAUAGACACGACAUAUUACCGAAAGUAUUGAGGCUACGCAGGUAUUGGCAGGAUGGAUAGUAGCAUCAUCUUAGGAGGUAUCAGAUUCUGUUUCCAGAUGUGUGGUGAAGUUGUUCCAAGAGUUGGCACUUCUGUAUCCCUGGGGUCCCUACUCAGUGAAUUCUGGUACCACUGUAUUAUGAAGAAUUAAGUUCUAGUUCAAACCCAUUUCUUUUGAACACAGACCCCUGUUUUACCCUGACUUGAGGUUAAAGUCUUCCUCAUGAUCUGAUUUCAGAUCUUCACUGAAAGUGUCCCUGGUAAGUAAGCAAUUUAGUAAGUACUUGUGGCUGCCUGAGUUCAUUCCUGCUGUGCUGGCUGCAAGUGGGAUACAUAUUCUUUCUCCCUUUCUGUCUUCUUAAGCUCAUUUUGAUUAAAAGUAGUCUCUUUUCUUCUUUGUGAAAAUCUUCCUGUCACCCAUUCGACCUGGGUUUGAGUUUGGAUCUCUUAGUCUAGGAAAUGGUAACAUGGAAGCCAAAACUUACAAAAGGAAACUUGGUUCCUGAAGACAGACAUUACUUCAGUGAAAAGUAAUCAGUAAAAUUAUAUGAGGGAAAAUAAAGCAGCUCAUUACAACAGGGUCAGCCUUAUCUAGUUUAUGAGCACCACUUAAUUAGUUAUUAAAGGCUAAGAUAUUUGAGAACAUUUUAACAGUGUUCUAUUAAGGUCAAAGUGACUUAGGAUAAAUUUAAAUGGUGUUAGCCAUUAUGCUGUGUGAAGAACUCUUGAUUUGGCGAGUUGAAGUGUGAUGUGAGGCAGUGAGUCCUGAACUGAGUCAGGGGGAGACAAGCUUCAUAUCCCGCUUCUGCUUUAACUGGCUCUGGGAUCUGAGAUGAGGUUAGAGUCAAUACCCGGGUCGUUUGUGAGGAAUUCAUGCAAGGAGAGCAUUCAGCACAGGGAGGGCUUCGCUCUUUCUGGGUGCCCUGUGAAUUCUCAGUCUCUGUUUGGCUCAAUCUGUCUGUCAGUCUUUUCUACUGAAGUUUGUUCAGGAAGUUUCUUUGAACCAGGGAGUUUCAUAAAAUGCAAGUGACACUGGGGACACUGUUCUAUUCCAGGAUGUUCUUUUUUAGGUUUGGGCAUUGGACCUGAUCCAGGAGACUGGGGUGUUUGUUCUGAUUUUCUCUUCAUUAGUUGUGUCAAUUCUGACCUUUUUAGAGCAUAAUUUCUUCCCCUGGGCCGUAGGGAUAAUACUACUGUCUAGGGACGCAUGGGCCCUGAGUGGGACAGCCCCAGCUUAAUUCUCAGUUCUACCACUGACUACACGGUAACCUUGGGCAAGUUACUGACACUGUGUUUCCUCAUCUUAAAAGAACGUAAUAGUAAGAACCACUUCCUGAGAUAUUCCAGAGACUGAUAUGAAUCAAUAUAGAAAAAUGCUCUUAGGAGAAUGCCUGACACAGGAUAGUUGCUUAAUAAAUGGUAAUUGGAAUGAUUUUUAUGGCUUUCUUUCCUUCACUCUAAGGAAAUCGCCAGUCAUCAAAACUGGAAUGCUCAGGGUCCUGCUUAUACAGUGUUAAUGAUUCAACAGCUCUCCCAAGAAAAUAACUAAUUCACCCAUCUUUAUUUUACCUUUUCUCUCUCCCUUCUCCCACCCCUGAUUUCUCCAUGCAGAACUGAGAAGCAUCAGCAGCAACAACUAUAAUUCAGAGCCAAACUGCCAGAAACUAAGGAUGGACAAACCUCCCCUCCCAAGCCCCUUCUUUGACCCUGGAUUUCACAGGUAGAGAAAUUCCACAUACUCCUUAAGAGGGACAGAGCUGGGAGCACAAGGUUUUCUGGGAAAACCAGUGGCAGAGGCUCCCUGCUUUUCUACAAGACACUUAUCUUCUUACUCAGGGAACCAAUAUUUUCUUCAACCAAGUGGAAGUCCAUGGGCUUUCUCUUUUAUUUGAGUACCCACCCCAGCCUCAGAGCCAGUUGACCAACGGGAAACUGUAUGGGGCUUUUCUAAGCCCUCUGGGGGAACUCAAAGUAAGUCUCAGUGGAGAAAAUGUAGGAUUGGCCUGUGGUCUUGGUUGUAACCCUGUCUCUUAUAAAAUUGUGGUAUCAGAUGAAAUAUGAAUAUAGUCCCUGGAAAGUGUAGACUUGUCACAAAGGCAUGAUUAACGGUAAGUCACCAUGAUUGCUUCCUAUCUGUCAUUCAGGGGUCUGUCUUCCUGAAUCAUUGUAAAAGUUGUUCAUAUUCUGGCUUCAUGUAUGUGUGUGUGUGUGUGUGUGUAUAUAAAGGCUCAACCCUCAUAUCAUUAGUUUCAAAAUCAGUUGUUCUGCCAGUGUCUAAUUGUGUGACAGUAAACAUUCACAUAAUCUCUAAGCCCAAAUUUUCUCAUUUACAUGCCUACCGUGCAUUCUUGCUCAAAUAAAAUCUCAACUUUAAUUUUGGAACCUCAGGGUCUCAGGGCUAGGUGGGAAGCUUGUAUAUCAUCUGAUAUGGCCUUUACCUUAUGCUCGCACUCACCCCUCACCAGCCUCACAGACAAAUGAUCCUGCAACUUCAGACUGAAACUGACCUGGCUGUGAGCUAACUCCCUCAGGAGUUCUGAUUGGUAGGAAGUUCUUUAUUGUGGUAAGAUGAACUCUAUACCCUCUAGUUACUAUUACCUGUUGGUAUCUGUGUUACCUCUGGAUCCAUUAACCUAAUUUAAUCACGACAUUGAAUAAUUCUGUAAAUGCCAUUACAUUUUUUUUUUUAACAUAAUCACUCAGCUCCUUUGCUGGCUCCACCUUUGGAGAUUCUGAUCUGAGUUGAGUUAUAAAACAGCAUCAGGUAUUUCUAAACAUUUCCAAGUGUUCUUGUUGCUUUGUUCUGAUGAUCCCCCAGAGGCAUGAAUUCUACUGCCAUGACUGGAAGAGCAGGUGUCUUAAACUUGGAUUAUUUUAUUUUAUUUGGAAGUGAUUUCUCCUUCUUAUGACCUUCAUUUAUUUUUUUUUUAAUUCUAAACAAAAAAAAAAAGAUGAAUACAAUUUUAGAAGAGAACUUGAAAGCUUCUAAGUAACAAAAUGAAAGUCAUUUGUAACUCAACUAUUUGUAAAAAUAUAAAUAAGACUGUAUUUUAUGCCUUGUAUCUGGAUCAUGUUUCAGUAUAUGUAUUUAUAUGCAAUUGUUGAAACUGGCAGUCCAUGUGGUUCUAGGUGCUAACCUGGUACUGAGCAUUAUGUUGUCUUUUCGUAAGUAUUAUCAUAAUGGUUGCAUCAUAAUAUUUUGUUGAAUGAAUGCACCAUAAUUUACUUAAUGAAUCCCCGAUUGUAAUCCCCACUUUGGGUUCAGUUUUUAGGAACACCAAGGCUAUUUUCUUUGAAGAGUGGAAAUAUGAGAAAAGGUAAUGCCUGUAGGUUCCCAUCACAAAAUAUUUUUUUCCCAAGUGUUAAAGUAACCCCUUCACCCUUUUUUUUUCUUUUCUUUUCUUAAAUUAGAGUCACUAGGGCAAGUGUGUCCAAUCCUGUUGGAGCUGGAAAGUUGAAAACACAGGUUGAUGUGCAUGUGUGUGUGUAAAUUGUACUUCCCAAAUUCAAGCUUACAGUAUCAUAUUGGUGAUGUCUGUGACAAACAAGACUUCUUUGGUUUGUCCCUUUUACAGAUUCAAAAGGCCCACCCAGGGCUGGAACAACCUUUUCCUCUGAUAUUCAGAAUUUUCUUGGAAAUUACUAUCCCUCUGUGUCAGGAAGAAAGCACUUGAACCCAGAACAGAAAUCAAAAUAUUCCACGUGUGCCUUGUAUUGACAUAAUUUGGAUCCACUUAUUUAUAAGCACAUCACCCUGGUGGCACAAAGGUUCCACCUUCAAUGAUCAGAUCAGUCCCCCAGGGUUACUAUUAAGAGUGGCAAUAUCCUCUCUACUCUGUAAACAUAAUCAAUUCUAGUUAUGUUCUUCAUGUGUCCAUUAAAAAAGGUGGAUGAGAGCUACCAAGAUGACUCCCUGGUUUUGGUAGUGAGGUACCCAUAUCGGGUGGGCAGAUCCUCCUCGUGGUUGACUAUGAAAAGUAAGAGUGAAGCAUUUUGCUCCUCUGCCGCAGUCCGGCUGCAGCAAAAUAACCGGGGGGCAGGGGGGUGGGGUGACGAAUAACUUGUGUACGUUGAUACAGCAGGAGUAGGAGCCCUUUAUUGCAGGACAGGAGCAGUAUUUAUACAUUCCACACAGCUUAUCUAAUUAGCAUAAACUAGAUACAUCAGUCAACCAAUAAGGAAUCUCCACACUUAAUGGCUUGUUUUUGUUACUUCUCAAACCACUCCCUCUGGCAUUUUGCCAGGCACCAUCCAGACUUGUUUACGAACUUUAACAUUCCCCUGGCAAAAUGCCAGGUGUUAUUUUGACUUGUUUACAGACUCUAACAUUUCCCCCUUUUGUUUAAUUUAAAUAACAACCAUAGUGGUUUUUACAGAAACACCAUAAAUAACCUGCUACAAACAGAAAGGGAGGAUACAAAAUGCCACAAUACCAAGCCAAUUGAUGGCUCCAUGCAAGAAGCCCUUGGAAAAAUUAUACCAGCAAUGACACUGUUAGUAAAGAUACCGAGUUACAAUUUGUUAUAGAUUACAGUUUGUUGUCUCAGUCCAGGUAAAGUAGUGUCUCAAUAGAUUAACUCACAGUCCAGGUAAAUCACAGUCCAGGUAAGUUCUGCAGACAGCUAGCUUAAAUCAUAGUCCAGGUAAGUUUUGCAGGCAACUAGCUUGAUCCGAAGUCUUGUCCGUUUCUCAGCUGAAGUCUUGUCCGGUUUUCAGCAACACUGGAAAUUCUUCCACCUUGGUCUUUACCGGCACUGGGACGAAGGCAGGAACUCAGGAUGGCUAAAGAAAAUCCUAUAGCAUUCUACUAAGAAAACAACCUUCUGAACAAUUUAGUACAUUAUCUCAAGGUUUUUUACAUUUGAAAUAAGCCUUAAUAGUGCUCAUUACUCAUUAGCUUCCAGGUGUGGGAGAACCAUUGUAGUUUAGUUAUUGGCAUUGAAAAUGACCAAACAUCAGGGACACCAGUAGCAUCUUCUGCUGGCUGUAGUGCCUGGGCAACCCCAGAUGGCCCUGGGGAGUGUCCCGGACUCAAACUGCUACUGGGCACAGGGAGCAAGAGCCUGCGAGACUGUGCCUCCAGGUCAGGUCUAGAUUUGGGCUCGCGGCAGUGGAAGAGCCAGCUCCCCAGCCAGGAGGCGGGGAAGGGCCAGUUGCUUCCGCCUCUUGGAAAAUCCUUGCUGCGCUGUGACCGGCUUGCACACUCGGCAGCCGCCUCUCCGCUUCACGCACCCUCCGGUAACGAAAAGUAUUUAGUAAUAGCCUUUUGCUGCAACUUUUUUCCUGAUAAUCCUUCUUCUUCUGAACUUUCUUUUUCUUUCUGACUAGAGUUCCUGGGCUCUUAUCAACACAUGCCCUAACUAUUCUUGGUUCCACUGGGGUGCCUUCUUCCCUUAGUAAUUUACUUCUCACCCCUUCCAUAUUUUCAUCACAAAGACAAUACAAUACACUGAGACAAAACAAGACACAAACAUACUGUAUCAAUCUUUUCCAUUUUCUCGAAAUGGUCAUUUUUCCUCUCGCCCUAUCUGUCUAGGGACGAGCAGAUUUGCUCCCGUCCUAUCUAUGGACGGGCAGCUUUUUUUCGUCACUUACCCCCAAGUGUCCCAGGGCUCCCGGUACGGGCCACCAUCUGCCACAGUCCGGCUGCAGCAGAAUAAUCAGGGGGGUGACGAAUAACUUGUGUANNNNNNNNNNNNNNNNNNNNNNNUUUAUUGCAGGACAGGAGCAGUAUUUAUACAUUCCACACAGCUUAUCUAAUUAGCAUAAACUAGAUACAUCAGUCAACCAAUAAGGAAUCUCCACACUUAAUGGCUUGUUUUUGUUACUUCUCAAACCACUCCCUCUGGCAUUUUGCCAGGCACCAUCCAGACUUGUUUACGAACUUUAACAUUCCCCUGGCAAAAUGCCAGGUGUUAUUUUGACUUGUUUACAGACUCUAACACUCCUCCUUUCCCACGAUAUAACUUUAAUAACUAGGAAGGCCAGGACCUUUUAACUACUAACUUUGGUUCAAAUACAAAGAAAAAUGAUUAUCGAGAUUGAUCUUUUGAUAUACCAGGGAUGAGAGAAGCCAUGCAGAUUAGGAGGAAAGGGUAGUGAUGGCCAACCUUAUCUAUAGUUCAUAUAUUUAAAAUUCAGAACUGUGGACAUCCUGAAUCGAAAAGUUUUUGGCCACUCAAAAUCAAAAUCAGCUUCUCAAAAAGAGACAAGACACUCUGCUCAUAGAAUGGAACCACCAUAAUCUGUCAGUGAAUUUCUCAGCACAAACGUUGCAGGCUAGGAGAGAGUGGGAUGAUGUAUUCGAUGUCCUGAAAGAAAAAAAAAAAUUCUGCAAGCCAAGAAUACCAUGUUUAACAAGAUUGCCCUUCACAAAUGGAGGCAAGAUAAUGAUAUUCCCAGAUAAACAAAAGGUAAGGAAGUUCAUCACCAGUAAACCUGCCUUACAAGAAAUGUUAGAGUGAGUUCUUAAAGUGGAAGUGAAAGGAUUCUAUUUAGUCAUGUGAAAAUAUAUGUAAGUAUAAAAUUCUGGUAAAUAUAUAAUGCAUUUCAGAAUAUUUAAUUCUAUAUUGGUAGUAUAUAAAUCACUUUUGUAUAAAGAUUAAAAUACAAGUAUUGUAAAUACUUAUAGCUAUAAUAAUUUGUUAAUGGAUAGAAAAUACAUCAAAGAUCUGAGUUGUGACUUUAACGCAUCAAAUAUGGGGUGGCUAAAAGUGUAUGAUUUUUGUAUGUUCUGAAACUUAGCGGGAUAAAAGCUAUUAUAGGGCAAUAACCACAGCAAAAAUGUACAGUAGAUCCACAAAGAUAAAGAAAAAAGAAUGAAAACAUAACCACCGAAGAAAAACAUCAACUCACAAAGGAAGAUAGUCAUGUUCUUCAUGUGUCCAUUAAAAAAGGUGGAUCAUAGCUACCAAGAUGACUCCCUGGUUUUGGUAGUGGUACCCAUGUCGGGUGGGCGGAUCCUCAUCAUGGUUGACUAUGAUAAGUAAGAGUGAAGAGCAAGGAAGGAAGAAAGGAGAAAGAAGGAACAAAGAAACUACAAAACAGUCCUCAAACAAAAACAAAGUGGUAAGUAGCAAGUUCUGACCUUUCUGUCCUUAAUUGCUUUGAAUGUGAAUAGGUGAAAUUCUAUAAUGCAAAGACUAGGAUGGCUGAACAAACAUUAAAUAGAGAAAAAGAAAAGAUUCAAUAUAUGCUUCCUACAAGACACAUACUUCAGUCUUAAAUAAAAACAUAAGCGAAAAGGGAGGGUAUGUGAAAAGACUCCAGACAAAUUAGAAACCAAAAGAUAAUAGGGAUAGAUAUGUUUAGACUAAGUAAAAUGUAAAUAAAAAAUUAACAAAAAAAGAAGGUAGUAAGGAAUGGAAAAGGGGUCAGGUAAUAAGAGGGUAUAAUAAUUGUAGUUAUAUAUGCAACCAGCAGUGGAGCAUCUAAAUAUAUUAAGCAAAUAUUAACAGAUCUGAAGUUAGUAAUAUCAGUAUUAUGAAAAGGGCCAAACACCAUGAUCAAGCGGUAUUUAUUUUGGGGAAUGAAAGGAUGGUUUAAUAUAUGCACAUAAGUGUGAUAUUCCACAUGUCUAGAAUGAAUGAUGAAAACCAUACAAUCAUCUUAAUGGGUGAAGAAAACAUAUUUGACAUAAACCUUUUCAGGACAAAACUCUGAUGAUGUGUGUGUGUAUAAAUAAAUGCAUGCACACAGACAAUACAAUAUUAUUCAGCCAUAAGAGAGAAGGAAAUCCUGCCAUUUUUAACAACAUAGAUGAGCACGGAGGGCAUUAUUGCUAAUGAAAAAAGCUAGACAGAGAAAGGAAAAAUGGUGUAUGGUAUCACUCUCAUGUGAAAUUUAAAGUAACAACUGCAAUACACUCAGAAUAGAAUGGUAAUUGCCAAAGGUUGAGGAAAAUGUUGAGAUGUUGGUCAAAGGUUACAUACUUUAGUAAUAAGAUAAACACAUUUAAAGUUCUAAUGUACACCAUGGUGAUUGUAUUUAAUAGUGCUGUAUUUCAUGCUUGGGAUUAAUUUUCUAUAAGGAUAGAUUAAGCAUUCUUAACAAAAAAGAAAAAGUUAACUCUGUGAGGUGAUGGAUGUGGUAAUUAGCUAAUUAACUUGAUUACGCUAAUGACUUCAUAACAUUUAUGUGUAUCAAAUCAUCACAUUGUGCACUUUAAAUAUAUACAAUUCUAUUUGUCAAUUAUAACUCAAUAAAGCCGGAGAUUAAAAAAAAAAAGAAGAACAGUAGCUUCUAUUUUCUUUUUUCUAUGUGCAAAAGGCAUUCCUGUUCUUUGUUCCUUAAGAAUUGAGGGGCUAUUGGAUUAUAGGAUGAGAGAUAUAGAUAUAAGUAAGAGAUAUAUAGGUGACUUAGCCACAACACAAUUUGGUCAAUUCUCCAUGGAAGUUUUGCCCCCCACAAAAAAGUGCAGAUGGAUCUCUGGGUCAGUGGCCUGUGAAAAUAUCGGAUUUUUUUCCUUCAUUUUUCUAAAAUAUCAAGGAAAUGAGAGACAGGUUUCUUUAUCAUGUGCCCAGUUCUCCAAUGGAAGAAGACAGAGGUGCCAUUACCCUAGAAGAUACUCCAUAUCAAGUCAUGCUAUGGCCUAUAAGCCUUCCACAAAAGCUGUUGGUCACUCCCAGAAUUCCAUGUCAGUCAAAUACAGAGGGUUGCACAUUUUGAAACCUUAUUCAGUAAAGCAUUCAAGCACUGAAGAGGGGGUAGAAUGAUUGACAUAGACCGGGGCUGCUGGAAUAGGUAGGUUCCAAAUAAGAACAGAACCAUGAAUUACAACCAGGGCAGGUGGUCAGCACAAGGCAGAAACUGAUUCAAACAGGAAGACAAGCCAAAAAGACAAAAAUUUCAAAGGCAGACUAAAGUAGGUCAUAAGGUCAAAAAGCAAAUGACUGUCAGAAGUCACAAGGGCAGGGCCAAGGUAGCAGGGUGAGCCAAGAAUAAGCCAUCUCCUUCAAUCAGAGGGAAACCCUUGCUACAUUCCAAAAGUGUUUGUUUACUUCAUAAGGCAGAGGUACCUGUUUGGCUCUUGGGGUUUAUAUGGGCCUUAUGGGUGGUGUUAUAAUUAAAUAGCAGAGUAGUACUUUAACACUCUGCUAAUUCUCAGGUUAUAUUUGUAAACAAGCCAGGGAAGCUUGAAGUGAUGUUUCACAUUAGCAGUAUACAUUUUGGUACACUAGAGAUCAUUUUAAGAAUAAUUUUGAUUUAUACUUGCGCACUCACCUCAUUUAUUUUAUAAGUCUAGACUUUAAAGGAGGAUCCUCCUCAAAUAUUUAGGAAGAACAACUUAUCACUUGUUCAACACCCCCUUUAAAAGUCUAGAAGCCUUCCUUUUGGGACUUAGACUGUUGUCUCUGUGAUAUGGCCCCUCCUUUCCCACCUGCUCAGGAAAUGUGAGCUGUGAAUUGCAGCUGAUUUGGAAUUUAAAGAGACUGCAACUCAAGUGUGACAGCAACUGCGCUAUUUGUUCACCAGACUGUUAAGCCUGUCAUUUCCCAAGGCGACCUUAGAGCAAACUCUUAUUUAAUUGUUUAAGCACGAGAAGCAAAAAUGUCUAGGUACCCUGCUUCUCUAAAUUUUUUUUUCCUAUUGGGGCUUUUUUUCUCUACUAGUUAGCAUUUAAAUCAAAGAAAUAUAAACUAGGUGAGAUGACCUCUUGAAGACUGAAGAUCACAAUAAAAUUGUAAUAUGCAAGAUCUCAAGGGGAUGAUUCAGGAAAAAUGUGGCAUAAAAGAAAUGUUCUUCCACACUUUUCUACAAAUAAUUUUAAACUUUAUUUAUUUAUUUAUUCAUCUAUUUUGGGUUUAAAUGGCCACAUGGCUAAAGUAACAAAAUCAGAUGAGUAGGCCCUAUUUCUUUGGCUCACUCCUUGAUCCUUUUAAAGCUAUAGGUACAAGACUGGCAAUUAGUUCCUGAGUGGCAUGAACAGUGCCAUUUUGCUUAUUUUCAACAAGUAUUAUCUGUCAUCCUUCAUUAGAUUGACCCAGAAACUGUGGGAAACCAUGACCCAAUAUUUAAGGGGAAUCAAGAUUAUAAUCACCAGUGUUGAACAUGAUUUUAUCAUUGGUGCUCCUCAUCAGUUGGUAUGUUUUCAGUUCCCUGGGGAGAGGUUACAGAAUUCCCAAGAAGAUCUUCUAUGAGCAAUUGGAAGGAAUUUUUCUCAAUAUCUCUAGUAUGUUUUGCUUUGCGGAACAUGGCUGCAUUUGAGAGGAAGGUGUGUUUGACUUUUCUCAAGGCUGUGCUUUAUUGUUCUUAACUCCAAUGGUAUUUAAAGGUGAAAGGAUACAAAUUAAAUCACAUGCAUAUUCUGUAAGACCAUAGACGAUAGGCAGGUAAGGUUCAGGGGUAGGCUGAAUGUCGGCAGAUUUCCAUCUCCAGCUCAGUGUUAAAAUAUUGCAGCGAGAGUACGAAGAGGAAAAACUGGUAUUAUUUCUAUUUUAUCUGUAAAGCUCACUCUGGGCUCAGGCCAAUAAAAUGUUUGGCCAAUAAAAUAUUAACUCAUAUUCAUGCAAAAGCUUCAAAAAUCACUUGCAUGAUAUGUUCACCUUUUCUUGGAAAUUUGCUACCAUCAGUGUGAGUAUAGGUUAACAUGCCUAAACCUUGGCAUGGGAAGAUAGUAAAGGUGUUUUAUUCAAUUAGCUGACAUCCUGACAACUUCUAAAUAGGAGGGAGCCUAACCAAGACAGGCAGAAACAUUUAACAACCUUGUAUGUGUAGCAGAGUAGCUGAGGGCAGACACAAAAUGAGCCUACCUGAGCCCAGCUUAGAUCAGUGUAAUUGCUCAAUCACCCUAUAAACUCAUAAAAUGUAAGAAAUGUUGACUGUUGUAUAACAAUGAUAUUUUAUGUUGUUGAUCACACAGCAUUAAUGUGGCAAUAGAUACCUGACACACCAGCCCAAUGAACAUGAUCAGUGAGUGUUAGCUAUAUACAUCUCAUCUCAUUGAAUCUAACGUGCUUUGAUAAUGGUAUCUCCUUGCUUUUUCUAGAAGCUAUCUAUAGAAAGCUUCUUUACAAUGGCAUAAUAAUCACCAUAUGGCAGGCAGUGACUUUUAUAUUCCAUGAAUUCAAAGAUGCAUCUUUAAUUCAAAUAUGCUAUAGUGCUAAAUUUCUGCUUAUUGUGGAAAAUUUUGUUAAAAAUCUUUAGGAUACCAGUGACCUGUGAGUGCAACUGGGUGCAGCUCCUUGGGACUUGAGUGGCUGUAGAUGCAAAGAUUGCAGCUUGGUAUAUUAUGGCAUCAGAGUCUCAGUCAGGCUCACUGAGGUCAGAGGCACCUGUAACUGGCCAGUGGACCUCUCCAUUGAAGCAGAUCAGUGCUAUUCUUAUUUUCCUUAGUGACAGGAGCAGUGUGGGACUCUCAUGAGAGUUUCCAGUUUGCCUAAACACCACAAUGGCAAAGCCUUCACAAAUAAGGCUUUCUUCCACAUUUACAGUUUGAGGGGUAAACUAUGCCCCCCAGGAUCUCUUAAUGCUAAACUGGGGUAGUGUUUAAUUGUGCUGCAUAUAAGUGAUAUGAGACAGCCAAGAAGAGUUUAAAUACAACAAUUAUGGCAAUAGUCAGGGAGACUUUAAAUACUACAAUUAAAAUUACUUGUUGUGUGUUUUGCAUGUUAUGUUUUGUCGGGGUCUGUAUACCAGACACAGAUUAAUAUUUUAUUCCCUAUAUCAAUAUUUUAUAGUUUUUAGUAGAAUGAGGUAAACGAGGUUAGUAUUUUGUGUUUAAAUUUUAAAUGGAAGUUUACAGACAUUGCAAGAAAAUUAAUACUGUUAUUUCAUUGUUAUUGGACCAAAAAAAGGAGAACACAGGUUGAGGCAAUACUUGGCUCCAAAUAACUUUCACCUGCAAUUUUUCUUUCUUUCGUAGAAAUCGUACUCGUCUUUAAACAGAAGUAAAUAAAGCAAGGUUCUCUAAGCACCUUUCAUAUCCUCUGAGGGCCACUACAAUGAGGAGUCACCAAAGUAUUACAGAAUUGAUGGCACAACACAGGGAUCAUGCUUGUGCCUUCCAUGGUGAAAGCCCUAAAGGGAGAAAUUAUUGGUUCAGAGGAAUCAGCCUGCUCUAGCUGAAUGAUGAGCUCAUUCGGAAUCUUCUUUCUACCAAGGGAUGCCCAUGACUAGGAAAAUGUCUUUGCUUUGUUAAAAAGGCCUCAGCCAAAGCUACCGAAUGACCUUCCAUCUUAAAUCCAGCUUUGGUUUCCUACCAAGUGAACCCUUCAUGGUUCACUGGGAGGUCAGUGGUACUGACCAGGUAGUUUGGAGAGAGCAUGAGUUUGGGAGUCACAAAAACCUUAACCCAAGUUCUGGCCUUUCCUGUGAAAUGCCAACCUGAUUUUGCUAGGCUCUUUACUCUGAAUGUCAAUUUCAUCCUUAAGUAAAGGGUGGUUAAUUUUCACCUUAAGUAAAGGGUGGUUAAUUUUCACCUUGUAAGAUAUGAUGAAAAUUAGGAAAAAUGAGAUACAGCAAACAACUACAUAAAGAGGUCAGUUUCAAUUUCCACCUUUCCCUUCCAUUUUAUUAUUUUUAUUUUGGGAGGUACCAGGGAUUGAACUCGAGGACAAUCAACCCCUGAGCCACAUCCCCAGCCCUUUUCUAUAUUUUAUUAUAGACAGGGUCUCACUGAGUUGCUUAGUGCCUCACUUUUGCUGAGGCUGGCUUUGAACUAGCGAUCCUCCUAUUUCAGCCUCCCGAACUACUGGGAUUUCAUGUGUGCACCACCAUGCCUAGCUAUUUUAUUAUCUUGCUAUUUUCCAGUCUUGAAUGCCUCUCUUUGGAACUGGGUAUUGCUAGUACAUUUGCCUAAAUGUUCAGGUUUGCCCGCUACUAAAUGAUAGAAGUCUAUUCUCCUCUCCCUUGAUGGAGCAUUCCCCCUUCCAGUGGACUUCUCUGAAGUGACCACCAGCAAAGAGCACAAGUAUACACCUCUGCUGUUCACACUACUCUUCCUGAUUUCUCUGUCUCUGUCAAUGCUAAUGCCAUUCAAUGGUCAUUCUGUGCUCUCUUUCCUUUCCCAGGAGAGUCACAGUACCACUGCUUACCCCUCUUCAGCGCCAGACUCCGAAGCAACCAGGUUGGGAAGAAUGUGGAUGGAUCAGUGCAGCUCAUCACCAUGGAACCUCAUUUAAAGAGAAUUUGGUAUGAGAGGUGGUCAUCUGCACCAUCUUCAUAUAAUAAAUGAGGGACAAAUGCAUCAAGGCCCUUAGGGUCCAUUGAGACUACUGUAAACAUGGACAUAAAGGUCUCUAGAAAGUUCAUAUGUUAAAGAAGAACACAAGUGACCAUGAAUCUGCCACGUUUUAUAUGCCAGGCUUUUUACUAAAGGCACACAUCAAUUAUUUCAUUUAAUGCCUCACAGCAGGCCUGUGAUGUGGGUACCACUAGUAGCUCUCUUUGUGACAUUUUCAGUUGUAGAGAAAUUCAGUGCUUGUGCUUCACAGAAAGUUGUAUACGUACCGAAUGGCUAAGCUAGAACUUAGCACCUGUCAGCCUGACUCCAUAGGUUUCUCUGCUUGCCUCCAGUUGAAGCCUUCCUCAGUUGGGCAUUGGCCAUUUUCGGAUUCUGACUCUACAGAUGAGCUGAUGUGUUGGUGGAAGGAAGAACAUCUGUGUUUCUGUUAUAAAAAGAAAAGCUGUGAUCACAGCCACAUGCAAUCAAAUUCAGAGCCUUAAGGAUUCCUCAGGGUUUAUGGAAUGUAGUUUGAGGCACACAAGUGUCAACGUCUGAUGACAGGGAGGAAACAUAACACCCACAGUGGCGUCUUUGGCCACCAGUGCAUGAAAUGUCCUAUGAGUAAGUAGAUGGCCUGCACUGCCUUCCUGCUCCUGGAAUUCACCCUUUACACUGUCGCAUGGGAUGAUAGGACAAGUGUGUGUGAGUAGAGCCAAUGAUAAUUAGAAGUCACUCCCCUCAUUGCCAUGUGAAGACAAUGUUAAUUAAUUAAAAGUGGAUUACCUCUGUGGUUGGAGAAAUGAAAUAAGGGCAUUGUGGAUUGCAUCUCCUGAAGCAGAAACACAGCACAAUUAUUUCUGUUCUUGUAUUUCAAUAUCAAAACUACCUUAUUUGAAAUCCUCUCACUCUAGAUUUUAAGAUGCCUCUGUCUUUCAGAAGGCAUCAUGCUUAGCUUUGCAGGGUGGGGGUGUGAAGUUGCCUAACUCUUUCUCUUGCCUCUGGGCAAUGUCAGGCAGGGGCAACUGACUGAUUUGUCAAACAUUUUAUUUAUGUCAUUCAUGAAAUAGAAAUAUAUAAAGGAAAAUAUGCUCUUUGCUUUGAAAAAUUAAGAUGUACUGGGUGCAUAUGUGGUUAUAUGACUCAAUACAGGCCAACUGUGCUUGUGUACAAGCCAGAAAAAAAAUUUGUGUAUAUGCACUAAAAAAAAUGAAAUAUACAAUCAAGCUAGUUAAUAUACCUUUCACUUUACAGAGUUACCAUUUUUGUGGUAAGAUUAAUGAAUAUCAAAAUAACAUAUUUUAGGCAAGUAUAGGGGCAGAUGCCCAUAAUCCCAGCAGCUCUAGAGGCUGGGUGAGACAGGAGGAUCACAACUUUGAGGGCAGCCUUAGCAAUUUUACCCUUAGCAACUUAGUGAGACCCUGUAUCAAAAUAAAAUAUAAGGGACUGGGGAUGUGGCUCAAAUAGUUAAGCGACCUUGGGUUCAGGCUUCAGCAUAAAAAAAAUCACAUUUUACACUUUGAAUGUGUACAAUUAUACAUUGCACACAUUCAAAGUGCAAAAUGUGGCAAGUCAGCUAUACCCCAAUAAAGCUGAAAAUAAUAAUGAAAAGCAAUACAUGAUUUAUUUAAAAAGUAUGUGUUUAUGUACUUUUUAAUGGUAGAAAAGAGAUAUUGUUUUAAAAAUAUAUAUUGUAAGUUAUCAUAAGCUACGACUAGGAACAGCAGGAAUCACAGAUAAAAUUCUACCAAAAAGACAUUAUUAUUUGUGUACCUCUUACUUUUAUACAUUCCUUUACUCUUAGAAAAAUUUGAUGAAGAUUCAAAGUCUUAUUUGAUCCAAUAUUCAUUUUGAUUAAGAAUAUGUCUUCAAACCACAUUUGAGCUUUUCCAGAAAGUGGAAGAGAAAAAAAUCUGUGGCUUCCUUUGGCUCUCACAAGGAGUAGGUUGUGAAGAGGGCUUGGACUUGCCUUCUGCCCAGGACUUUCACCUUGGAGAAUUCAUCAAAACAGGAGAUGGAGAUGCUAUGGAAACCGGGAAAGAGAGUUGUUGCAUGCUAGCCAGUGGGAAAAUAACCACUAUUCCCUUCUGGAAGCAAAUUUAAAAGCAAAACGUGUGUGUGUGCAUGUGUGUGUGUGUGUGUGUGUGUGUGUGUAGCCUUAAACAACACAGGCUUUGGAAAAGCUGCAUUUACACUGCAUCUCUUACCAGUUGUAAAAGGAUAAUCAUCUAUUUACAAUGAUUUGGUCGCUGCAUCUUUUGCAGCUAUUAAUUCAAAACAGCCUCAAACUGUUUAAAAGUAGAAUUGUGCUAUAAUGACUUUCCUCAAGGAAAGAGACUGAGUAUGAAAUUGAGUUCCUUGGGAAAGCACAUUCUGAAUUCUGCCAGCAGGAAGCCCCUCUUGUGAAUUGACAGGGAUAGGAGGUUCCAUCCCCAUCACUUCAGCUAGACAAAUAUUCCUCAAGAGCUGCACGUUCUGGCCCACUUUUUCUCUUUUCUUUGUCUUUGUGUGUAUGAGCUUGUGUAUGAUUUCUCUUUGCAAUAAUGCAUGCUGCUCCAACCAUCAUUAAAAUGAUUGAUUUUAUCCUGUUUUCCUGAUCAUUUUGUUGGUUCAGUGACUGGUAAGAGCACCUACAUUUUCUUUGAAGUCUUUUCUUGUGAUGAGGCUUCCUUUCAGGACUGUUAGCCUUUUUCCAGAAUUCUCCUGAGCAUUGUAUAUAAGGCAACCACCUGUUCGAUUUCCAUGUCUCUUGUCUCCUAGGGAUUACCUGUCCAAUUCUAGUGCACACUUUUUAGAAAUCCUAAGGGUUUCUGAUAAGACUGGAGGGAAUUGAUACUGUUUGCUAUUUAUGGAUGUGGAUGACAAGCCACCCCUAAAAGAGUCCCUCCCUUUCCAGAAAUAUCAAUAUUUGUUAAUUGUGGGUUUUGUGGGCACCUCUGAGAAUCUACCUACAUGAGUUGACAAUUGCAACUUAAUUUAAUCACUACGCAGGAUCUGAAAAUAGCUUUUAAAUCAGAGCCUAGAAACUUACAAAGCUUCCAGCCCCCAUGGAACCUAAGCUUGGGGAUUUUUAAGUCCUAGUGACAUUUUUUUUUGGAAUGUUAAGAUUUAGAGUUGGACUUGCUAAGCUAACACAUUAAACUGAAAACGAAAAUUAAAAAAAACAAAUUCCCAGCAAUUAACAAUGAUCUUCAAGAAGUAAAGAAUAUUUUAUCAUCAAUAAGACGGAAGAACAUGAUGUAAAAUGAAAGGAUAACCAUUUAUUUUUUGUAAGUUUAGCUUUAAAAUGAAUAUCUUUUUUUUCCUAAUUUUUAAAGCCUGUAUUAUUGAAUCUUCAUCAUACUCGCCAAUGUGAAUAAAAUGCAUGAAAUUAAUGCUCAGUGAGAGAAGCCAGACUCAAAAUCAUCAUAAAGAAAAGAUGUGAAAAAAUGGGAAAAAAGAAAAUCUGAGCAAAAUUUAUUCAUUGCAGGUUCUAAUUCCCAUCACAACAGAUUCAUGAUUUAACUCUUAAAAUAGCUUGGCUUUACUAACAACUAAAGCCAGAUAUUCCAAGGAAAAAUUUUCAGGUUCUCCCAUAUAGCUGGUUAAUUAUGCAAAAGUAUUCCACACAGCAAAAAUAAUUUAUUGGUCUUCUUGAGGAAAUUCAUCUUAUCCUGAAACACUUGGGAACUGGGUUAUCAGCUCAAUUUCAGAAGGCAAAUAUUUACUCAUUGUAGCAUUGUUUCCCACAGGUAAUUGGAAUUCAAAUAUGAAAGUAUUUAAGGUUUAAAUCUAAGACAACUUUUUGUGUCUUGAUAUCAUAAAAUCUUUCAAUGAAAAGAUAUCCUUUUGUUCAGUUUUCUGUAUUUAAGAUUCUAUUUAUUUAUUUAUUUACUCUUAGAAAUGUGCCAGGUGGUAUUCCAGACCUCAGGACAACAGAGACAAAUACCUCAAGAAGUUCAUACACCAGAGGAAGACAGGCACAUAAACAGAUAAGGACCACAUGGAGGAAUCUAUGCUGGAAUGAAGAUUUGUAAAAAGAGUUAGAAUUGAUAGAUAUGUGGUUUAAUAAAAACAUUACUGUGAAUUUAACAUAUGGAGGGACUGCCAAAUGAUUUUCAAAAGCAGCUGUACUAUGUCAAAAUCUCACUAGCAAUUUAAGAGAAAUCAACUUUUCCACAUCCUUGUUUACAAUUGUUACUGUCUUGUCUUUGUUUUUAGCUAUGUUAGGGAGGUUGAAGUAGCACUUACUUGUAGUUUUGAUUUGCAUUUCUCUGCUGACUACUGAUGUUGAACAUUUUUAAUGUGCUUUUUGAUUAUGUGUAUAUCUUCUUUGAAUAAAUGUUUUCAUAAAAAUAAAAAAGAAAAGAUGUGAACAGGUGACGUGACUCUCUGCUAAUAGAAGUCAAUGUAGUGAGAUAUCCUCAAGGGGUAGAUGGGGGUAUCUAGAGGGGACAAGGGAGGAAACGAUUCCAGGGCAUUGCUAGUGCUACAUCAA